rnacentral:rRNA from 1 species
GAAGGGGGCUAGCGUUGCUCGGAAUUACUGGGCGUAAAGGGACCGUAGGCGGACUGUUAAGUUAGAGGUGAAAGCCCAGGGCUCAACCUUGGAAUUGCCUUUGAUACUGGCAGUCUUGAGUACGGAAGAGGUAUGUGGAACUCCGAGUGUAGAGGUGAAAUUCGUAGAUAUUCGGAAGAACACCAGUGGCGAAGGCGACAUACUGGUCCGUUACUGACGCUGAGGCUCGAAAGCGUGGGGAGCAAACAGGAUUAGAUACCCUGGUAGUCCACGCCGUAAACGAUGAGUGCUAGUUGUCGGCAUGCAUGCAUGUCGGUGACGCASSUAACGCAUUAAGCACUCCGCCUGGGGAGUACGGCCGCAAGAUUA